GCCAGACUGAACCAGAAUGGCCCUGACAUGGAGACAUACUUUCUUCUGCUGAUUUUGAGAGAAAAAUAACCUCUAUGAGGUUAUUGAGGAUGAGGAAUGGGGAGGACAGCUAUAGGUGGUGAAGUUUUAAACCAGUGCUGCAGGAUUUGCCAGAAUUCCCCUGUCAAUCCUGAUUUAAAUCUGGGCUCUGUCCUGACUUGUUGUCCGUUGGGACAUAUCAUGUAACCUCUCUGCCUUGGUUUUCCCCAGGUGCAGUAGUAUUCGACUACUUUGUAAGGCUUUUGUUAGGAUUAAUCUUCAAUCUUAAGUCUAUUUUGAAGUUGCUAAUUAAAAGAAGAUACUGGUUAAAGCACUUUGAGAAGCUUUAAGAAGCUUUUGAGAAGUUAUCUUAGUUAGCUAAGGAGAACCCUUAGCACAGGCUUUACCUUGCUUAUUCCUUCCCCAGCUGUACAGAUGAUGUGCUACGUUACCGCUUCGGUGGGGUGCUCUACUCAGUGCAAGCUGAAGAAGACCUGUCUCACUUGGCCCAGCUGAAUUGGUAGCCCCACGAAUGUGAGAUCAGAAUUGUCAUGGAAGCCAGAAGUCUCAUUAUUCUUUUAAAAACAUUCAGAUAUUCAGAUAUUCGGAUCUAUUCUAGGUCAAAUUUCGGUGCUUCCAGAGACAUCAUCCAUCAGCAGCACUCUCCUAUGAUCUGCCUAAACUCUACAGAACGGAAGACUUUUUUCCUAUGAACUAUGUAGGU
rnacentral:lncRNA from 1 species